rnacentral:rRNA from 1 species
UGGAGAGUUUGAUCCUGGCUCAGAGUGAACGCUGGCGGCGUGCCUAACACAUGCAAGUCGAACGAUGAAGUCCUUCGGGAUGGAUUAGUGGCGCACGGGUGAGUAAUGCAUAGAUAAUGUGCCCCUUAGUUCGGGAUAGCCACUGGAAACGGUGAUUAAUACCGGAUACUCCUUCUUGUCUCAAGGCAAGUCGGGAAAGUUUUUCGCUAAGGGAUCAGUCUAUGUUCCAUCAGGUAGUUGGUGAGGUAAUGGCUCACCAAGCCUAUGACGGAUAUCUGGUUUGAGAGGAUGAUCAGACACACUGGAACUGAGACACGGUCCAGACUCCUACGGGAGGCAGCAGUGAGGAAUAUUGCACAAUGGAGGAAACUCUGAUGCAGCAACGCCGCGUGGAGGAUGACGCAUUUCGGUGUGUAAACUCCUUUUAUUAGGGAAGAUAAUGACGGUACCUAAUGAAUAAGCUCCGGCUAACUCC